UAAAGUUGUAAUUAGGUUUGGAGUGACGAUAUUGAAUCCAUCUUUCAGUUAUCACUAACUCGCGAACAGCUGUUCGGAUUGCAUAAUGCUGCACAUAACCUCAAAUACUAAUUGCGUCGUUACUUUCGAACGCCAUGUGAAAUGUGAAUUUGUGAAAUUUUCUAAUUAGCUAAGUAUUUAGAAGAUGACUCUUGAGACUAUUAUUUUAGCUAACCGUGAUCGUUGUUCCUCAGUAAUGAAAGCAAUUGAAGAAACAAAUUAAUUUUGUGUGACCUCUGAAAAUAGUGUUAGAUGUUUUGGGUUGGCCGUCUUGUUACGUGCGCGUUGAUUUUCCUUUGAAGUGUGUUUGCAAAGUUGACUUUGGUCUCGAAUGUCGAAGAAAUAACAGAUCUUUCCAUCAACCUCUAACCGACACGCUAGAUCAGGAAGAACAUCAAAGUCUGCUCGAUUCUACCUCAUGCUUUACAUGUCUUAAAAACGGCUGACAAUGGAGCUUGCGUUUUCUGAAACGAAUCUUGGGAAGCAUCUUAAUGCUUAGUUUAUGAUUUACAAGAGUGCUGCAGCCGAAGAAAAUGUGCUCCGGCGUAUCCUCGGCAGAUAGGCAUAGGACGCAAAGAGGGGAGGGUACUAAUUUAAAUUUAAGAACAAAACUGUUGAAGCUGCUGUGACCGGACAAGAAUUGCGAGAUGUAGAUGUCCGUUUCUCCGUAUUCACGUUCUAUCCAAGGCACUCACCUCUUCAAAGAAUGUGUAAACUAUUAGAUGUGGAGCUAUGUUUGCCUCAAUAUUCGGAUGCUGAUCAAUUUCUUCAUUGAGAUCAUCAUGAAGCUCCCACUCUCCGGUUAUCCUCCGCACGUAAGCCACAAAGUGCCCCCGUGCUUGUACAAAUUCGACCACUCCAGAAAGAAU